AACGCGAAGAACCUUACCAGGUCUUGACAUCUAGUGCAAUCUGUAGAGAUACGGAGUUCCCUUCGGGGACGCUAAGACAGGUGGUGCAUGGCUGUCGUCAGCUCGUGUCGUGAGAUGUUGGGUUAAGUCCCGCAACGAGCGCAACCCUUGUUAUUAGUUGCCAGCAUUAAGUUGGGCACUCUAAUGAGACUGCCGGUGACAAACCGGAGGAAGGUGGGGAUGACGUCAAGUCAUCAUGCCCCUUAUGACCUGGGCUACACACGUGCUACAAUGGGCAGUACAACGAGAAGCAAGCCUGCGAAGGCAAGCGAAUCUCUGAAAGCUGUUCUCAGUUCGGACUGCAGUCUGCAACUCGACUGCACGAAGCUGGAAUCGCUAGUAAUCGCGGAUCAGCACGCCGCGGUGAAUACGUUCCCGGGUCUUUACACACCG
rnacentral:rRNA from 1 species